GGGCGCGUAACUCAACUGGCAGAGUAACCGGCUUUUAACCGGUAGGUUGUGAGUUCAAAUCUCACCGCGCCCACCA
rnacentral:tRNA from 1 species